rnacentral:rRNA from 1 species
AGAGUUUGAUCCUGGCUCAGGAUGAACGCUGGCGGCGUGCCUAAUACAUGCAAGUCGAGCGAACGGACGAGAAGCUUGCUUCUCUGAUGUUAGCGGCGGACGGGUGAGUAACACGUGGAUAACCUACCUAUAAGACUGGGAUAACUUCGGGAAACCGGAGCUAAUACCGGAUAAUAUUUUGAACCGCAUGGUUCAAAAGUAAAAGACGGUCUUGCUGUCACUUAUAGAUGGAUCCGCGCUGCAUUAGCUAGUUGGUAAGGUAACGGCUUACCAAGGCAACGAUGCAUAGCCGACCUGAGAGGGUGAUCGGCCACACUGGAACUGAGACACGGUCCAGACUCCUACGGGAGGCAGCAGUAGGGAAUCUUCCGCAAUGGGCGAAAGCCUGACGGAGCAACGCCGCGUGAGUGAUGAAGGUCUUCGGAUCGUAAAACUCUGUUAUUAGGGAAGAACAUAUGUGUAAGUAACUGUGCACAUCUUGACGGUACCUAAUCAGAAAGCCACGGCUAACUACGUGCCAGCAGCCGCGGUAAUACGUAGGUGGCAAGCGUUAUCCGGAAUUAUUGGGCGUAAAGCGCGCGUAGGCGGUUUUUUAAGUCUGAUGUGAAAGCCCACGGCUCAACCGUGGAGGGUCAUUGGAAACUGGAAAACUUGAGUGCAGAAGAGGAAAGUGGAAUUCCAUGUGUAGCGGUGAAAUGCGCAGAGAUAUGGAGGAACACCAGUGGCGAAGGCGACUUUCUGGUCUGUAACUGACGCUGAUGUGCGAAAGCGUGGGGAUCAAACAGGAUUAGAUACCCUGGUAGUCCACGCCGUAAACGAUGAGUGCUAAGUGUUAGGGGGUUUCCGCCCCUUAGUGCUGCAGCUAACGCAUUAAGCACUCCGCCUGGGGAGUACGACCGCAAGGUUGAAACUCAAAGGAAUUGACGGGGACCCGCACAAGCGGUGGAGCAUGUGGUUUAAUUCGAAGCAACGCGAAGAACCUUACCAAAUCUUGACAUCCUUUGACAACUCUAGAGAUAGA